UUGUUACUCCCUCCGUCCGAAAAUACUUGUCAUCAAAAUGGAUAAAAAGGGAUGUAUCUAUAAUUAAAAUAUGUCUAGAUACAUCUCCUCUUAUUCAUUUUGAUGACAAGUAUUUGACGGAGGGAGUACAAA
rfam:Triticum aestivum genome assembly, contig: Triticum_aestivum_CS42_TGACv1_scaffold_195377_3AL